UACAGAGGUGGCAAGCGUUGUUCGGAAUUACUGGGCGUAAAGGGCGCGUAGGCGGUCUUUUAAGUUCCGUGUGAAAUCCCUCGGCUCAACUGGGGAACUGCACGGGAAACUGGGAGGCUUGAGUUCGGGAGAGGGAAGCGGAAUUCCGGGUGUAGCGGUGAAAUGCGUAGAUAUCCGGAGGAACACCGGUGGCGAAGGCGGCUUCCUGGACCGACACUGACGCUGAGGCGCGAAAGCUAGGGGAGCAAACGGG
rnacentral:rRNA from 1 species